rnacentral:lncRNA from 1 species
UGUUGGUUUCUAAAAAAACUAAGCCUUUUCCUUUGUUUUCUCUGCAGGUUUGAGCACGGUCAGCGCUCCGGCGGCCUACCACCGUCCUCCGUCGCGUCUCCGGUGUCGGUGACCGUCGCCGGCAACCGCGUGCGGUGGCCGGAGCUCCGAAAAAUGGUAUUUUUUUGUAUACUUUUUUAUAUAUAUCUUAGAUAAGUAUGUAUAUAUUAAUACUUGUCAAAAAUUCGAAAAAGAAAAGAAAAGAACAAAAUAAAAUAAAACAAGAAUGCGAAAACAGUAAAACUAUCACCUUAGAUUUCAAACUUGGCUCCUGUCUUUGAACUGUUUUUAUUUGCUAGAGUUUUAGCUUUUUGUAUUUUAAAAAAUCUAAGGCUGUUUUUUUCAUUAUCAAAAUGCCGACCUUUUUACAAGAUUUUGACUCGGCUUUUAUAGCCAUUGUACAACCCUUUUUUAUUAUUUGUUGUCCUUUCUCUGCAGAAAAAUGGGCGGUGGAGCAGAGGCCAUUUGUGCUGUCGACGUGACUGGGGCGGUGGGAGUCAGAGGCAGUGGAGGCAAGUGGUUUAGGGUUUCAAAUUCUGAAACCCUAAACUUGGGGCUAGUUGGGUUUGGGCCUCUGUUAUUUGUUUUGGGUAGAUUAUUGUUUUGGGCUAAGUUUAAGGCUAAGGGUUUUUUUGGGUUUUUAAUUGGGUAGUUGGGUUAUUUUGGUGUUUGUUUAGGUAUUGGGCCCGGGCAAAAUGGGUUUGUACACAAUCAAAAGUGCGAUCUAAAAUCUAAAAACCCCAUUAAAACACAGAAACAAGGCAUUCAUAGACACGCCAACAAGUAUGGUGAAAAAAGAACAAGAGGUUCGCUUACUUCUCGCAGGCUCCUUUUCGAUAUUUUUCAGCUUGAAAUAUCUUCGUGCCUCUUUCGUACCAAGAUUUGGUAUAAUUGGGAUCGGAUUUCCACUUCCGUUGAUGCUUCAAACCAGGUCUUUCAGCGUUAAGAUACCAAGGUGCUGCUGACAUAAACUGAGGAAUAUGAGGGUUAAUUUCUUUUCCAUCCUCGUCAACCUCAGCCGGUGCAAGCCCCGCCUUUCGAGCUUCCUCUAAUUCCAGCUGUUUCCGGUGAUCCUCCCUUGAUUUAAAGGCAGCUGAUGAAGUAGCCAUGUUGAAUCAAUAAAAUAUUAGCAGAAGCUAGGAUUUUGCUGGUUUUUCCUUUAGAUGUGGGUUGAUCCUGAGAUUGAAAUUAAAAACAUUCUCUCUCUUAAAUAAUAAUGUUUAAACCUAAUCCUACUAUGAUUCUUAUUUUUAAUUUUCUUUAUUUUUAAUUAAUAAAUUAUCUUUUAAUUUUUUUAAUUAAUAUUUUUUAAAAAUUAUUUAAAAUUAAAAAUAUGUAAUUGUAUAUAUCUCAUUAUCUU